CGGGAGUCAGACUGCACGAGAUAAGUUGGGCAGUCAAAAGGGAAAGAGCCCAGACCGCCAGCUAAGGUCCCAAAGUGUGUGUUAAGUGGAAAAGGAUGUGGGAUUUCGAAGACAACUAGGAUGUUGGCUCAGAAGCAGCCAUACAUUAAAAGAGUGCGUAAUAGCUCACUAGUCGAGAGGUCCUGCGCCGAAAAUGUCCGGGGCUGAAACACAACACCGAAGCUGCGGAACCCGCAAGGGUUGGUAGAGGAGCAUUCUUAAAGGAACGAAGCAGUACCGUAAGGAGCUGUGGACUUUUAAGAAGAGAGAAUGCCGGAAUGAGUAGCGAGAGUAAGGUGAGAAUCCUUACGGCCGAAUAUCCAAGGUUUCCAGGGUAAAGCUGAUCUGCCCUGGGGAAGUCGGGACCUAAGGCGAGGCCGAGAGGCGUAGCCGAUGGACAACAGGUUGAGAUUCCUGUACUACAGUAUAACAGAACUGUGGGGACGCAGAAGGAGAGCACUACCUGGAAUGGAAUCCAGGGGCAAGCACAGGAGGGGUACGGCUGGAAAAACCGCCGUGCAACCCAAAGGUGUGACGCAUACCGAACUAAAGUAGGGAAAUGUGUGAGCCGGCUGCCGAGAAAAGCCGCUAUUGUUUGUACUGUACCCGUACCGUAAACCGACACAGGUGGAUGAGGAGAGAAUCCUAAGGCCGACGGAAGAAGCAUUGUUAAGGAACUCGGCAAAAUGACCCCGUAACUUCGGGAGAAGGGGUGCCUGCGAGAGCAGGCCGCAGAGAAUAGGCCCAAGCAACUGUUUAGCAAAAACACAGGUCUAUGCAAAACCGCAAGGUGAAGUAUAUGGGCUGACGCCUGCCCGGUGCUGGAAGGUUAAGGGGAGAUGUCAGGAGACGAAGCAUCGAACUUAAGCCCCAGUAAACGGCGGCCGUAACUAUAACGGUCCUAAGGUAGCGAAAUUCCUUGUCGGGUAAGUUCCGACCCGCACGAAAGGCGUAAUGAUUUGGGCGCUGUCUCGGCAAUGCAUCCGGUGAAAUUGAAGUGCCAGUGAAGAUGCUGGCUACCCGCGCCAGGACGGAAAGACCCCAUGGAGCUUUACUCCAGCUUGAUACUGGGAUUCGGUAUUGCAUGUACAGGAUAGGUGGGAGGCUAGGAAAUGGUAACGCCAGUUGCCAUGGAGCCAAUGUUGGGAUACCACCCUUGCAGUACUGGGUUUCUAACCAGCAGCCGUGAUCCGGCUGGGGGACAAUGUCAGGUGGGGAGUUUGACUGGGGCGGUCGCCUCCGAAAGGGUAUCGGAGGCGCUCAAAGGUUCCCUCAGAAUGGUCGGAAACCAUUCGAAGAGUGCAAAGGCAGAAGGGAGCUUGACUGCGACACCGACGGGUGGAGCAGGU
rnacentral:rRNA from 1 species